rnacentral:rRNA from 1 species
CAGCUGGUUGGUGGGGUAAAAGCCUACCAAGGCGACGAUCGGUAGCUGGUCUGAGAGGACGAUCAGCCACACUGGGAUUGAGAACGGCCCAGACUCCUACGGGGGGCAGCAGUGAGGAAUUUUCGGCAAUGGGGGCAACCCUGACCGAGCAACGCCGCGUGCAGGACGAAGGUCUUCGGAUCGUAAACUGCUUUUCUCUGGGAAGAGUAAGGACGGUACCAGAGGAAUCAGCCCCGGCUAACUACGUGCCAGCAGCCGCGGUAAUACGUAGGGGGCGAGCGUUGUCCGGAGUUACUGGGCGUAAAGCGCACGCAGGCGGUCGUGUAAGUUUGGGGUGACAGUUCCCGGCUCAACUGGGAAAGGACCUUGAAGACUGCAGGACUUGAGGGCCAGAGAGGGACACAGAAUUCCGGGUGUAGUGGUGAAAUGCGUAGAUAUCCGGAGGAAUACCAAAGGCGAAGGCAGUGUCCUGGCUGGUGUCUGACGCUCAGGUGCGAAAGCUAGGGGAGCGAACGGGAUUAGAUACCCCGGUAGUCCUAGCCG